rnacentral:rRNA from 1 species
ACUCAAAGGAAUUGACGGGGACCCGCACAAACGGUGGAGCAUGUGGUUUAAUACGACGAUACGCGUGGAACCUUACCCAGACUUGACAUGUUUUUGAAAUCCUUGUGAAAGCUUGGACCCCUAGCAAUAGGCAAUUACACAGGUGUUGCAUGGCUGUCGUCAGCUCGUGUCGUGAGAUGUUGGGUUAAGUCCCGCAACGAGCGCAACCCUUAUCUUUAGUUGCUACCUACGUCUUCGGAUGUAGCGCACUCUAGAGAGACUGCCGCUGAUAAAGCGGAGGAAGGUGGGGAUGACGUCAAGUCAGUACGGCCCUUACGUCUGGGGCUACACACGUGCUACAAUGGUUGGUACAAAAGGUUGCAAUACCGCGAGGUGGAGCUAAUCCCUAAAACCAACCUCAGUUCAGAUUGCAGGCUGCAACUCGUCUGCAUGAAGCUGGAAUCGUUAGUAAUCCCGUAUCAGACACGACGGGGUGAAUACGUUCCCGGGUCUUGUACACACCGCCCGU